rnacentral:rRNA from 1 species
GACGUAGGGCGCGAGCGUUGUCCGGAUUUAUUGGGCGUAAAGAGCUCGUAGGCGGCUUGUCGCGUCGACCGUGAAACCUCACAGCUCAACUGUGAGCCUGCGGUCGAUACGGGCAGGCUAGAGUUCGGUAGGGGAGACUGGAAUUCCUGGUGUAGCGGUGAAAUGCGCAGAUAUCAGGAGGAACACCGGUGGCGAAGGCGGGUCUCUGGGCCUUACCUGACACUGAGGAGCGAAAGCGUGGGGAGCGAACAGG